rnacentral:snRNA from 1 species
GUGCUUAUUUCAGCAGCACAAAUGUACUAAAGUUAGAAUGAUACAGAAAAGAUUAGCAUGGCCCCUACACAAGGAUGACACAGAACUUCAUGAAGCAUUCCAUAUAUUU